rnacentral:rRNA from 1 species
UGGGGAAUAUUGCACAAUGGGGGAAACCCUGAUGCAGCGACGCCGCGUGAACGAAGAAGGUAUUCGUAUCGUAAAGUUCUGUCCUAUGGGAAGAUAAUGACAGUACCAUAGAAGAAAGCUCCGGCUAAAUACGUGCCAGCAGCCGCGGUAAUACGUAUGGAGCGAGCGUUGUCCGGAAUUAUUGGGCGUAAAGGGUACGCAGGCGGUUUAAUAAGUCGAAUGUUAAGAUCGGGGCUCAACCCCGUAAAGCAUUGGAAACUGAUAAACUUGAGUAGUGGAGAGGAAAGUGGAAUUCCUAGUGUAGUGGUGAAAUACGUAGAUAUUAGGAGGAAUACCAGUAGCGAAGGCGACUUUCUGGACACAAACUGACGCUGAGGUACGAAAGCGUGGGGAGCAAACAGG